GAUGAACGCUGGCGGCGUGCCUAAUACAUGCAAGUCGAGCGAACAGACGAGGAGCUUGCUCCUCUGACGUUAGCGGCGGACGGGUGAGUAACACGUGGAUAACCUACCUAUAAGACUGGGAUAACUUCGGGAAACCGGAGCUAAUACCGGAUAAUAUAUUGAACCGCAUGGUUCAAUAGUGAAAGACGGUUUUGCUGUCACUUAUAGAUGGAUCCGCGCCGCAUUAGCUAGUUGGUAAGGUAACGGCUUACCAAGGCAACGAUGCGUAGCCGACCUGAGAGGAUGAUCGGCCACACUGGAACUGAGACACGGUCCAGACUCCUACGGGAGGCAGCAGUAGGGAAUCUUCCGCAAUGGGCGAAAGCCUGACGGAGCAACGCCGCGUGAGUGAUGAAGGUCUUCGGAUCGUAAAGCUCUGUUAUUUGGGAAGAACGAAUGUGUAAGUAACUAUGCACGUCUUGACGGUACCUAAUCAGAAAGCAACGGCUAACUACGUG
rnacentral:rRNA from 1 species